UACGUAGGGUGCGAGCGUUGUCCGGAAUUAUUGGGCGUAAAGAGCUCGUAGGCGGUGUGUCGCGUCGGCCGUGAAAACCUGGGGGCUUAACUCUGGGCGUGCGGUCGAUACGGGCAUCACUAGAGUUCGGCAGGGGAGACUGGAAUUCCUGGUGUAGCGGUGAAAUGCGCAGAUAUCAGGAGGAACACCGGUGGCGAAGGCGGGUCUCUGGGCCGAUACUGACGCUGAGGAGCGAAAGCAUGGGUAGCGAACAGGA
rnacentral:rRNA from 1 species